ACUUGUGUUCCAUCACAGGUAGCCUAUGGAUACAUGCAUUUCUGGCCACGGGAUUGUGCGGUGCUAUCCGGACAAUAUAGCCCAUAAAGGGAUGCUGCGAAGAAUACCUGUUGCUCACCAACCUCAGGUGCGGGGAAGU
rfam:Lunatimonas lonarensis strain AK24 S14_contig_118, whole genome shotgun sequence.